rnacentral:lncRNA from 10 species
AGGCACCAAGCACAACUGUGAGGUAUAGGCUGCCUGGGAGCAGUGGGAGGAGCUGGCAGUGGGACGUGCUGUGCAUUGGAUGAACUCAGUCACAAGGAACUUUCUUGCAUGACUGAUGGAAAGACUCUGCAGUUGCUUCACGUGUUGAAGAAGGAAAAGAAUGCUUGUCUUACCCACUUCAGAGGCUUAUCCUGAGAAUCUUAAAUGUGAGAGUACUUUGCAAACUACAUAGCACUCCCUAAGUGCAUGUUUUUUUAUUAGGAGGCCCUGCUACCUCCCUACCUGAGGGAGUCUUUCCAGAACCUCCCUGCUCCCACCCCUCACUGGCACUCCUGCUGCUCUGUUUGGAGAAACACAUUUUAUGGCAGCACAGAUACAGACCUGGAUCAUGGGGUCACUGCUGUGUUUCCAUUACAAAUACACAGGCUUCAAGCUUCAGCCCUUUCCACAUGCUGAACUUCAUCGGAGUCCCAUGUGUUGAGAGCCUUCUGGAAGAGACCCAACAAUUACAGAGGGCUGCAUCAUACAGACUUGGCCUGCAUGUAAUUUCAGCCUGAACUUUUGGGGGAUUGUUAUGGGGUCCCAUCCUGCAAUCUUUCAACAUGGAAAACUCUCCUGGGCCUGGAAGGUUUGGAAAUUCUUCAAGAGUGGGAGGUAUAGCCUCUAGGAUUGAACAUCAGGGAGGACCCUGUAACCAGAAUGGAACUUAAAUCUUAUUUCACGAGCCUUCUAAUUUUCUGUGUCUGUGUGGCCUUUUACUUGAAAUAAAUAAGCAAAGGAUAUAGUUUUAAGUAUAGUGGUUUCCACGCUCCUGGGGCUGAUUUCUCCUUUGCCCCCCAGGUUGAUAGUAGAUCACAGUUGCAGAAAUGGAUCCAAAUGGAUUUUGCAGAGAUAGUCGAAAGCCAUGCCAAUUUGGCCUCUUUUGUGCAGUAAGUACAGUGUGAGUAGCUGCCAGAUAGAGAAGAGAGAACCCCAAGUCAAUUAUUAAUUACUUCAGCUCCCCUUAGGGUCAGCAAAUCACAGCUGCGCAAUGUACUACAGCACCUAAAGUGUGACCGUGGAGAAUUAGGGGCACAUGUAUAUACUAUUCUGCAAAAGCAAGGGUGUUAGCCAUGGUGUCGAAUGAAUAAUGGAAGUAGUCUUUAAUCCAUGUUUCCAUGAAUCAGUCUGUUUUUGUCACAUUGUUGUCCAGUAUCUGUAAGUGGUAGCAUUAUUCAUGAGGCUUAAGUAGACACACAGACCCAGGGAAAGGCUGGAGAUGAAAACAAAACUGUAGUAUUCAUUCAUCAGCUUGUGGUGACAACACUGCUGUCAGUAUACUGAAAGUCAGCGU